UACGUUCGGAGUUGUAGGCUGAAACUCGCCUACAUGAAGCUGGAAUUGCUAGUAAUCACAGGUCAGCAUACUGUGGUGAAUACGUUCCCGGGCCUUGUACACACCGCCCGUCACACCAUGAGAGUUGAGAAUACCCGAAGCCCAUGUCAAAGUGGUCGAAGGUAGGCUUGAUGAUUGGGGUGAAGUCGUAACAAGGUAGC
rnacentral:rRNA from 1 species